rnacentral:rRNA from 1 species
UGAUCCUGGCUCAGAACGAACACUGGCGGCGUGGAUUAGGCAUGCAAGUCGAACGAGAAAGCUCCCUUCGGGGAGUGAGUACAGUGGCGAACGGGUGAGUAACGCGUGGGAAACCUGCCCUUGAGCGGGGGAUAACAUCCCUAACGGGGUGCUAAUACCGCAUGAAUCGGAGAGUCGCCAUGGUUUCGUUGGUAAAGGUGGCCUCUUCAUGAAAGCUGCCGUUGAAGGAUGGUUCCGCCUCCCAUUAGCUUGUUGGUGGGGUAAUGGCCUACCAAGGCGACGAUGGGUAGCCGGCCUGAGAGGGUGUCCGGCCACACUGGGACUGAGAUACGGCCCAGACUCCUACGGGAGGCAGCAGUCGAGAAGCUUCGGCAAUGGGCGAAAGCCUGACCGAGCGAUGCCGCGUGAGCGAAGAAGGUCCUAUGGAUUGUAAAGCUCUGUCAGAUUGGGAAGAAAACUCUGCGGUUAAUACCCGUAGGGCUUGACGGUACCAUCAGAGGAAGCACCGGCUAACUCCGUGCCAGCAGCCGCGGUAAUACGGAGGGUGCAAGCGUUGUUCGGAUUCACUGGGUAUAAAGGGUGCGUAGGCGGCCUUUUAAGUCAGGGGUGAAAUAUGACGGCUCAACCGUCAAACUGCCCCUGAAACUGAAAGGCUUGAGUUCGAGAGAGGAAGGUGGAAUUCCAGGUGUAGCGGUGAAAUGCGUAAAUAUCUGGAGGAACACCGGUGGCGAAGGCGGCCUUCUGGCUCGAAACUGACGCUCAGGCACGAAAGCAUGGGGAGCGAACGGGAUUAGAUACCCCGGUAGUCCAUGCCGUAAACGAUGGAUACUAGGUGUUGGGGGAGUCUACCCCCUCAGUGCCGCAGCUAACGCAUUAAGUAUCCCACCUGGGGAGUACGAUCGCAAGGUUGAAACUCAAAGGAAUUGACGGGGGCCCGCACAAGCGGUGGAGCAUGUGGUUUAAUUCGAUGCAACGCGAGGAACCUUACCUGGGCUUGACAUGCAGGGGACAGGUGUAGAAAUACACUCUUCUUCGGACUCCUGUACAGGUGCUGCAUGGCUGUCGUCAGCUCGUGUCGUGAAAUGUUAGGUUAAGUCCUGCAACGAGCGCAACCCCUAUCUUUGUUGCCAUCAGGUUAUGCUGGGGACUCUAGAGAGACUGCCGGUGACAAACCGGAGGAAGGUGGGGACGACGUCAAGUCAUCAUGGCCCUUACGCCCAGGGCUACACACGUGCUACAAUGGUCGGUACAAUGGGCAGCGAAACAGUGAUGUGGAGCGAAUCCCAAAAAGCCGGUCUCAGUUCGGAUCGUAGUCUGCAACUCGACUACGUGAAGUUGGAAUCGCUAGUAAUCGCGUAUCAGAACGACGCGGUGAAUACGUUCCCGGGCCUUGUACACACCGCCCGUCAAGUCAACCGAGUUGGUUGCACCCCAAGUCGCUGAGCUAACCCGUAAGGGAGGCAGGUGCCCAAGGUGUGAUUAGCAAGGAGGACUAAGUCGG